GAUUACUUUGCACCCCUGAGGAGACACAUUUUCACCUCCGCACCUGGAAAAAAGGAACAUCAUGAUGAAGCUGUUGGUGCUCACGCUGUGCCUGCUGGUCACCACCUUGGCUUCUCCGUUGCGGAGAGUGACAGCAAUGAGGAAAAAGUUGAUGCUGCACCAGUCCAGGCUGCUGGCGUCCCUCCUGCUGCUGCCCAAGCUGUCGGAGACGCAUCGGAGGAGGAGACAGAGGCUGGCAACCCUGCACCCAAAGACGCCGUCCCCCUAAGCUCUGAUGAGGUCGAGGAGGCCGAGGAGGUUGAGGAGGUUGAGGAGGUGGAGGCAGCUGAGGCUGAACCUGCAGCAGCUGUUGAGCUGGCCGUGGUUGACGCCCCAGUGGACGCUGCAGCCGCUGAAGCUACAGUUGUGGACGUGCCUCCUGUUGACGCGGUUCUCGUUGACGCUGUCCCUGCAGCCCCUGAGGUGGCUGUUGAUGCGGCCGCCCCGGCCGCUGCUGACGUCCCUGUUGCUGCUACUGCUGAUGCCGCUGCCGUUGAUGCCGCUGCUGCCGUCCCUGCUGCUGCCGGUAUCGUUGAUGCCGCUGCCGUUGAUGUCGUUGCCGUUGAUGCCACUGAUGCCGGUGUUGUUGAUGCCGUUGAUGCCGGUGCCGCUGAUGCCGCUGCUGCUGAUGCCGCUGCUGCCUCACUGGCAGCUGAGAUUGACACAACUGGAGUGGCAGCAGAUCCUGUUGCAGUGUAGUUCCUUCUUGUCAUCCCCAGCCUCUUUUCCUAGCAGUGGAAACAGCCACUGUGUGUGUGUGUGUGUGUGUGUGUGCAGUGCAAAAGUAAGCUGUGUCACAUUGAUUCAUCAAGAAUGAACAACAAGUUGUGUGUUUUUAGUUAAGAAUUGGACAAUUAAAACAUUUUGUUGUGUUGUUUUUUCUGUCUUUAAUAAAAAUACUUUUUGAAAA
ensembl:lncRNA